CCAAUAUGUAUUUAAUCACUGUUGCUGACGCCUAGUUACAAGGUAAAAACAAUAGCAAUUAAAACUAGUUUUCAACAGACUUUUCAUUAAAAUUGAUUGUUGUGAGAAAUCAAAAUACAAUCAAUCCAAUUUCGAACAACUCAACUUAAAGUAGUGGGAUGGACCACCUCAUCCGCUUCCUGAGCGCAAGGCAAGUGGCACAACCCAUUUAGGUAGCACCAUCCAAGAGAAACAAGACAUAACUUGAAGGGCAUCACAUUUUGCAUCAUCUUUUGUAAGAACAUAAUGACGAGCCAUGAUGAACCCCUCUCUUAGAGCAAGUGCCUCAGCAUCAUCCGGAGUAAAUCAAACCAACAUUCUCUUAGUCCGAGCCAUCAGCACCAUAGCCGUACGAUCUCUUAGCGCAGUACCGAUGCCAACAAGAAAACUUACACUAUUAAUAGGAUGAAUAAAAAAGUAAACAGUAAUUACUAAAUAACUUAGAUGUUGGUAAUCCAUUACUUGGGAUUUUGCCUAAAAAGCUUGGUCAAAACAUUUUAGCAGUAUUUAAUCAAGUUUUUUUUAAGAUUCUAUAAAAAUCUUGAGGUAUU
rnacentral:lncRNA from 1 species